GACGAACGCUGGCGGCGUGCUUAACACAUGCAAGUCGAACGGAAAGGCCCUGCUUUUGUGGGGUGCUCGAGUGGCGAACGGGUGAGUAACACGUGUGUAACCUGCCCUUGACUUUGUGAUAACUUCAGGAAACUGGGGCUAAUACCGGAUAGGAGCUCCUGCUGCAUGGUGGGGGUUGGAAAGUUUCGGCGGUUGGGGAUGGACUCGCGGCUUAUCAGCUUGUUGGUGGGGUAGUUGCUUACCAAGGCUUUGACGGGUAGCCGGCCUGAGAGGGUGACCGGGCACAUUGGGACUGAGAUACGGCCCAGAAUCCAACGGGAGGCAGCAGUGGGGAAUAUUGCACAAUGGGAGGAAGCCUGAUGCAGAAACGCCGCGUGCGGGAUGACGGCCUUCGGGUUGUAAACAGCUUUCGACUGUGACGAAGCGUGAGUGACGGUAAUGGGUAAAGAAGCACCGGCUAACUACGUG
rnacentral:rRNA from 1 species